rnacentral:rRNA from 1 species
UGGCUCAGAUUGAACGCUGGCGGCAGGCCUAACACAUGCAAGUCGAACGGUAACAGGAAGAGCUUGCUUCUUCGCUGACGAGUGGCGGACGGGUGAGUAAUGUCUGGGAAACUGCCUGAUGGAGGGGGAUAACUACUGGAAACGGUAGCUAAUACCGCAUAACGUCGCAAGACCAAAGAGGGGGACCUUCGGGCCUCUUGCCAUCGGAUGUGCCCAGAUGGGAUUAGCUUGUGGUGGGGUAACGGCUCACCAGGCGACGAUCCCUAGCUGGUCUGAGAGGAUGACCAGCCACACUGGAACUGAGACACGGUCCAGACUCCUACGGGAGGCAGCAGUGGGGAAUAUUGCACAAUGGGCGCAAGCCUGAUGCAGCCAUGCCGCGUGUAUGAAGAAGGCCUUCGGGUUGUAAAGUACUUUCAGCGGGGAGGAAGGGAGUAAAGUUAAUACCUUUGCUCAUUGACGUUACCCGCAGAAGAAGCACCGGCUAACUCCGUGCCAGCAGCCGCGGUAAUACGGAGGGUGCAAGCGUUAAUCGGAAUUACUGGGCGUAAAGCGCACGCAGGCGGUUUGUUAAGUCAGAUGUGAAAUCCCCGGGCUCAACCUGGGAACUGCAUCUGAUACUGGCAAGCUUGAGUCUCGUAGAGGGGGGUAGAAUUCCAGGUGUAGCGGUGAAAUGCGUAGAGAUCUGGAGGAAUACCCGGUGGCGAAGGCGGCCCCCUGACGAAGACU